GGCAACGGCGAAAGGCGCGAGCACGAGCUCGCGCCUCCCCGCCCCGCCCCCCGGGCGCGCCGCAGGGCGGGGGCCUCGCCAACCGCCGCGGGCGCCGGCGGCGCGCGGGGCCGUCGGGACACGCCUGGAACCCCCCCCGCCCUCCUCACCUCAGGACUGCGGAGCCGAAGCUGUGGGGGGGGUGCGGGGGGGCUCCCCUUCGCCCUCCCCCCUCGCCCUCCCCUGCUUCCGCCGCUUGGCCGGCGGAGGAGAUCGGCGGCGGCGGCGGAGCUGCCCCCGGGCCUGCGGCGCCGGGCGCCGUGUGGGAAUGAGGGGGCGGCACAGCGUAAUGCGGCCGUGGGUUGCGCGUGGGGGUCACCCCCGCCCCUCCGUUUACCCCCGGCGACCUCGCCUGGCUUUGGGUUUUCCACCAAGGUUGAGUUUUUCCACUUCCCUCGCCCCCCCCCGCCCCCCGCCAUGUCAGGCCCCCGCGGGGACCUGGCGGAGCGUCCAGCACCGUCCCCGUGGCAGGGCCGCUGCGGUGGGGGCCGGGGUGGGAGUGAGCCCCGGGGGUACCGAGGGGACGGGGGCUCUCCCAGUGCAGGCGGGGCUGUGUGCCGAUGAGAACGUGCUGACAGGAGUAGCAAGACUAUUAAAAUAAUAAACAUUGCCGUUGUUGGAAUUUUUUUUUUUUUUUUGAAAAAGGAGUGUUUCCCAAAGGUGUUCAAUGCCUACACUCAUUUGUCCCCUUUCUGAACGGCUUGCCCCACCUCGAAGCCCUGGUUUGGGUAUGCGGUGUCCUGAACUCUCCCAUGAUUUCUCCUGGGCCCUCGGAUCAGCACUGUCUCACGGAAAUAAGAUGGAGAAAGCGCCUCGAUACAUUUUUUGAAAAGGUUCAGAACUUGUCACCAAAUGAAGAAGAUAAAUCAGCACUGCUCUUCCUACUGACCUUUCUGAGAAAGGAAGCUAGAUGCUGCUCUUCCUUGUUUAGAAAAAGCUCCUGAAAGGAAGCAAGAUGGAUGGUGCCAAAACGGGCGUGCUUUGCCCUGGGAUGGGUGAAGGCGGUUGGCCACCCGCUCCACUGGGAACACCGACUGAACGUGGGUCCUCCAGGGCUGGGAGUACGAGUUCGACUGAAUUUCUUAUGGUGUUGAUAAAUUAACUGUGCAUCCAUUUUAUCCCAGUCCUCCACACAGGACUGGA